rnacentral:lncRNA from 1 species
CAAAAACAGCAAAAUUUCCUUAAAACUAACAAUUCAGGGUCAGCAACCCAACAAUGGGUUAUCCGAUUCAUCUAAAAAUUUCAGAGCAGAUAAAUGUUGACCUGAUAAACAAUUUUACCCAUGUCAGAUUUGCUCUAAAUGCUUUGGGUUUUGAGUUAUAAGCCAAAAACUGCAUUUUACCCCAUGUUCUAUUUUUAGCCAUGACGGCCAUCUUGGUUUGAUGGCCGGGUCACCGGACACAUUUUUCAAACUACUAACCCAAAAGAUGAUUGUGGCCAAGUUUGGAUUAAUUUGGCCAAGUAGUUUCAGAGGAGAAGAUUUUUGUAAAAGAUA